rnacentral:rRNA from 1 species
AACGAACGCUGGCGGCAGGCUUAACACAUGCAAGUCGAGCGGGCCCUUCGGGGUCAGCGGCAGACGGGUGAGUAACACGUGGGAACGUACCCUUUUCUACGGAAUAACGCAGGGAAACUUGUGCUAAUACCGUAUACGCCCUUUUGGGGAAAGAUUUAUCGGAGAAGGAUCGGCCCGCGUUGGAUUAGCUAGUUGGUGGGGUAAAGGCCUACCAAGGCGACGAUCCAUAGCUGGUCUGAGAGGAUGAUCAGCCACAUUGGGACUGAGACACGGCCCAAACUCCUACGGGAGGCAGCAGUGGGGAAUAUUGGACAAUGCGCGCAAGCCUGAUCCAGCCAUGCCGCGUGAGUGAUGAAGGCCUUAGGGUUGUAAAGCUCUUUCACCGAUGAAGAUAAUGACGGCAGUCGGAGAAGAAGCCCCGGCUAACUUCGUGCCAGCCGCCGCCGUAAGAC